AGCCUUAUUCAUUACUAGCAAAUUUUAUCCGCGCGAAUCAGGCAACAAAGGUUGACAAGAAACCAGCGAAGAGCUACAGACAUGAGGACCUUUGUUGUGUUCUGCUUUUUGAUGGCUUUCGUGAUUGCCUCCCAGGCGCAGAGAGUACCAGAGGCCACAGAAAUGGAUGAAGACGAAUUAGCAGCUUUUGAUGAGGAGCUGAAACUAGCCUCUGGAGCCGAAGAUGUCCCUGAAUUCACAAGAGACUCAAAAAAUCCAGCUGUAGAUGCAAGGAAGAAGUAAAGAUUGGAGACAACGGUGAACAUGAUGAUUGCAAACGAAUUAAUCAAUUAUCCUCAAAAUGUGAAUUAUGUAUUUUGGAUAUACUGAAUGAUUUAUGAUUUGUGAAGCCUUUUUCAACUUGAUGUGACACUUAAUAAAUUUGAACGAUAAAUUCUGCCUA